UCCGUAGGCGGGCAAUUAAGUCAGAGGUGAAAUCCCACAGCUCAACUGUGGAACUGCCUUUGAUACUGGUUGUCUUGAGUUACAGUGAAGUAGAUAGAAUAUGUAGUGUAGCGGUGAAAUGCAUAGAUAUUACAUAGAAUACCGACUGCGAAGGCAGUCUACUAACUGUAUACUGACGCUAAUGGACGAAAGCGUGGGGAGCGAACAGGAUUAGAUACCCUGGUAGUC
rnacentral:rRNA from 1 species